UGAAAGAGUUUAGUAAUGGGUAAAUCUCAGAAGGAGAAGAGGAAAGAAGACAGCAGAGGAUACAAGAACCAUGGCAUCUGCUCUCUCCCUUUGGACUGAAUUUCAGCAACUGUAAUUAAGAAGAUGAGCCACAGAGGCACGGUGACUCAUGUGCAUAAUCCAGCACUUCAGGAGGCUGAGACAGGCGGAUCACUUCAGCCUAGGAAUUUGAUACCAGCCUGGACAACAUGGCAAAAACCUCAUCUCUACAAAAAUUAGCCAGGCAUGGUGGUGUGCACCUGUAGUCCCAGCUACUCAGGAGGCAGAGGUGGGGGAAUCAAUUCAGCCCAUGAUGGUUGAGGCUGCAAGGAGCCAUGAUUGUGCCACCGCACUCCAACCUGGAUGACAGAGUGAGACCUUGCCUCAAAAACAAACAAACAAACAAACAACAACAACAAACAAAUGAACGAACAUACAAAAAACAUUAAUAAAGAUUAUAAAACCGUCAAAAAUAAAUAAAUAAAUGAAAUUUGGGCUUCGAUAUAUUAUCAAACGUAAGACAAUUCCUUACCCAAAAUGUAAAAUAAAAUUCUGUAGCUAGCCCUGAUAUUCACAGCACGUUAUCAAUACUUGGAACAUUUACCAGCUGGUGAACAGCCGCUCCAACUUUC
rnacentral:lncRNA from 10 species